rnacentral:rRNA from 1 species
UACGUAGGGGGCAAGCGUUGUCCGGAAUCAUUGGGCGUAAAGCGCGUGUAGGCGGCUUGGUCAGUCUGCUCUGAAAGCCCGGGGCUCAACCCUGGGAGGCGGGUGGAUACUGCUGAGCUCGAGUCCGGAAGAGGCGAGUGGAAUUCCUGGUGUAGCGGUGAAAUGCUCAGAUAUCAGGAGGAACACCAAUGGCGAAGGCAGCUCGCUGGGACGGUACUGACGCUGAGACGCGAAAGCGUGGGGAGCAAACAGG